UUAUGCAUUAGCCUUUCUCUCUCCAACUCUCUCACGGUCAUACUAUCACUUUCAUUUGCGUGUUAUCUUUCUCUAGCCCUCUUGUUGUGUCACAUUGUUUCUCUCUCUCUCUGACACAAACACACGCUUGCGUUCGUUUCAUUUUGUGUCGAUACACUUAACUUAAUGGCUUUGUCUAUCACAACAACCUCUCCUCUCACAGUGAUUAAUCACUUUCUCCUCGUAGCAACAUCUCUCGGCUGAAUAUCUCCAUUGGAAUCUUCUAUUCGGUCUAAAGACACGCGGGAGAAGUUGCAGAUUGGGAUGACUUAACCAAUUUAUAUGUUCCUUCAAAAUGGAAAGCAUUUGUUUCAAAGGAAGAAAUCUGUCACACUGGAUAAUCUCUCUGGAGAUAAGUGAUGUUCGAACAAGCUUUGACAUGUUUACUCCUAAGAACAAGCCAAAGUAGCCCCAACUCCCAAGACAUGAACAAAAAGUUCAAAGAGCUGCUGUAAAUUGGAGCGUAUCACAUAUUGAUCCAGUGAUGGAGAUAUUUCCAUAUUACACUGCUGCCAUAUGCUCCAAAGGCCAGUUGUGAAUUUUCUGCAGUCGUGUUUAUGUGUCAGGGAAUGCAGAAUAUCAAAGAUAAGAGUCUUUAUACCUUCUGCUUGUUGGACUUGAGUUUCAAUCUUCUCCAUCAGACCAGAUUCCUUCCAUAUUGAGAUAGCUUUGUCACAGCCAAAGAAGAUGUGUCAAGAUGGUUCCAGGUUAUUUUCAGUGUAUUUGGCAUCAGCUUUGUAUUUGGCAUCGAGGGACAAAGUGUCAAUGAUAUUGUGAUAUGCUGACUUAACAAAAUAGUUCCCGUCUUUGGUGAGCUUCCAUAUUUGAACAUCACUUUCAGCAACAUUUAAAAGUGGCAGAUUCUGGACUUCAUUGCUAUCAUCUGGAUUGAGUAUUUGUUCCAGAAUUUCAAGUCUCCAAGAUGAGUUUCCAUGAUCAGUAAUUGUGCUGGCAUGCAUUUGUUCAAGUCAAUGAGGGGAAGGGAUGAAAUAUAGGGAUUACCAUUAUGUUGCAGCCAAGGUCGAUUCCAUACACUUAUGGAAUGGCCAUCUCCAUUUGGUGUCUUCUCUUAUCACAACCUGUGAAGCGGGGAUGCUACGCUAUACAGUGCGAAAAUAUACUUGAUCUGAUUAAAAAUAAGUAUAAUUAAUCUACUAUAGAAUUAACACUCCCACCUUUACUAAAUAAGACUUAUGUUUGUUUUCCUAUUUAUUCAUGAUUUUAUACUGAAAAAUAUGGAAGGAAUUUCAAAUUUCUGUUUUCCAUCA